AGGGCAAUGUGAGGGCUGGCACACACACACAUGUUGGGUGUUGGGGAUAUUUCCCCUCCGGUAAAGAGAAGCUGGAACAAGCAGAGGUGUUCCUUACUGCUCUGGCUUCGAGCAAGUCCAAACAAAACUCCCAAUUUGUCAAACUUGAGUGUAGAAAGUGAAAGCAGACUGCAGUUUGAUGCUUCUCCAGUGAAAUACUUGUAAUUGUCACUGUAUUUUGUUACAUCAUAGGAAUCCAGCCGAUGUGGAACUCACAAAACCUCAGGGAGCAGCAGCAGCAGCUGCCCAGAGCUGUUUGCUGAGGGUUGGUGCCACAGCCUUAAAUGCUGGACAUGAACAACAGGGUGAAAUUUCUUGUUUUCCUGGGAAGCAAGAGCUCACUAGUUGCCUGACUCAAACAGAAAUGCACAGCGAGUUCUGCAGCCAUUAAUAUGAAAUGCUGUAUGAGGGAUUCAUUUCUCCCAGGAGGAACUAAAUCCAGAGCCAGGAUGAACACAAGCCUGAGUCUGCAAAAACCACUGAGAAGAUCUGCAAGAUUGGUGACUUCAUUGGAAACUCUCUCCCGGGGAUAUUUUCUCUCUCCAUGGUUCUCCACACCUCCAACUUUACCAUGAAUGUCACUGAACUUCUCAAGGCUCUCCCCUAAAAUUAAUAAUUAAAGACAAAAUUGAAGGGUUCAAAACUGAUGCUUCAAGAACUCAGUUUCGUUUCAUUAAUGCUCCCUGCGCCCCUUCUACUUCAAUUAGGAAUUUUGUCAUAUAUGCUCAAGUUCAUUAAUUAUCAUAUUUCAGGGUCUUGGCAGGCAGUUUAAAAAUAAUCCCAUAGCCUUUGGAGCUUUGAUUCCAGAGGAUUCAUUCAGUGUGCUCUAAGGCUGUUGUGUAACUACCAUGAUUGUUUGUCUGACAACAACAAGUUUAAAUAUUUUUUUUUCUUCAUUAUUUUUGUCUAAAUGCAUUUUCACUGUCACUCUGCUGUGAAGCCAGGCAGACAAAGAUAAAAACAUUGCCAAUUGCAAAAUCCAGAUGUCAUGGAAGCUCAAGUAGCCAUUUAAGUUGCUUCAUGACAAACACACAUACAUUAAAAUCAAGAUACUGAAAAUUUUUAUUCUCUUGUUCACCUAACUGAUGUGUCUAAGACAUUUAGAAGAAAAAAAAAAUAUAAGCACAAUGCAAAAAAUGUAAAAAAUUGGAGGAAAAGAAAC